rnacentral:rRNA from 1 species
GACCUCAAAUCAUCAUGCCCCUUAUCUCUAGGGCUACACACGUGCUACAAUGGUGAGUACAAAGAGAUGCAAGACCGCAAGGUGGAGCCAAACUCAAAAACUCAUCCCAGUUCGGAUUGUAGGCUGCAACUCGCCUACAUGAAGCCGGAGUUGCUAGUAAUCGCGAAUCAGCAUGUCGCGGUGAAUACGUUCCCGGGCCUUGUACACACCGCCCGUCACACCAUGAGAGUUGGUAACACCCGAAGUCCGUGAGGCAACCGUAAGGAGCCAGCGGCCGAAGGUGGGAUUGAUGAUUGGGGUGAAGUCGUAACAAGGUA